rnacentral:rRNA from 1 species
GAUGAACGCUGGCGGCGUGCCUAAUACAUGCAAGUCGAGCGAACAGACGAGGAGCUUGCUCCUCUGACGUUAGCGGCGGACGGGUGAGUAACACGUGGAUAACCUACCUAUAAGACUGGGAUAACUUCGGGAAACCGGAGUUAAUACCGGAUAAUAUAUUGAACCGCAUGGUUCAAUAGUGAAAGACGGUUUUGCUGUCACUUAUAGAUGGAUCCGCGCCGCAUUAGCUAGUUGGUAAGGUAACGGCUUACCAAGGCAACGAUGCGUAGCCGACCUGAGAGGGUGAUCGGCCACACUGGAACUGAGACACGGUCCAGACUCCUACGGGAGGCAGCAGUAGGGAAUCUUCCGCAAUGGGCGAAAGCCUGACGGAGCAACGCCGCGUGAGUGAUGAAGGUCUUCGGAUCGUAAAACUCUGUUAUUAGGGAAGUACAAAUGUGUAAGUAACUAUGCACGUCUUGACGGUACCUAAUCAGAAAGCCACGGCUAACUACGUG